rnacentral:rRNA from 1 species
CGAAUGCUGACAUAAGUAACGAUAAAGCGGGUGAAAAGCCCGCUCGCCGGAAGACCAAGGGUUCCUGUCCAACGUUAAUCGGGGCAGGGUGAGUCGACCCCUAAGGCGAGGCCGAAAGGCGUAGUCGAUGGGAAACAGGUUAAUAUUCCUGUACUUGGUGUUACUGCGAAGGGGGGACGGAGAAGGCUAUGUUGGCCGGGCGACGGUUGUCCCGGUUUAAGCGUGUAGGCUGGUUUUCCAGGCAAAUCCGGAAAAUCAAGGCUGAGGCGUGAUGACGAGGCACUACGGUGCUGAAGCAACAAAUGCCCUGCUUCCAGGAAAAGCCUCUAAGCAUCAGGUAACAUCAAAUCGUACCCCAAACCGACACAGGUGGUCAGGUAGAGAAUACCAAGGCGCUUGAGAGAACUCGGGUGAAGGAACUAGGCAAAAUGGUGCCGUAACUUCGGGAGAAGGCACGCUGAUAUGUAGGUGAAGUCCCUCGCGGAUGGAGCUGAAAUCAGUCGAAGAUACCAGCUGGCUGCAACUGUUUAUUAAAAACACAGCACUGUGCAAACACGAAAGUGGACGUAUACGGUGUGACGCCUGCCCGGUGCCGGAAGGUUAAUUGAUGGGGUUAGCGCAAGCGAAGCUCUUGAUCGAAGCCCCGGUAAACGGCGGCCGUAACUAUAACGGUCCUAAGGUAGCGAAAUUCCUUGUCGGGUAAGUUCCGACCUGCACGAAUGGCGUAAUGAUGGCCAGGCUGUCUCCACCCGAGACUCAGUGAAAUUGAACUCGCUGUGAAGAUGCAGUGUACCCGCGGCAAGACGGAAAGACCCCGUGAACCUUUACUAUAGCUUGACACUGAACAUUGAGCCUUGAUGUGUAGGAUAGGUGGGAGGCUUUGAAGUGUGGACGCCAGUCUGCAUGGAGCCGGCCUUGAAAUACCACCCUUUAAUGUUUGAUGUUCUAACGUGGACCCGUGAUCCGGGUUGCGGACAGUGUCUGGUGGGUAGUUUGACUGGGGCGGUCUCCUCCUAAAGAGUAACGGAGGAGCACGAAGGUUGGCUAAUCCUGGUCGGACAUCAGGAGGUUAGUGCAAUGGCAUAAGCCAGCUUGACUGCGAGCGUGACGGCGCGAGCAGGUGCGAAAGCAGGUCAUAGUGAUCCGGUGGUUCUGAAUGGAAGGGCCAUCGCUCAACGGAUAAAAGGUACUCCGGGGAUAACAGGCUGAUACCGCCCAAGAGUUCAUAUCGACGGCGGUGUUUGGCACCUCGAUGUCGGCUCAUCACAUCCUGGGGCUGAAGUAGGUCCCAAGGGUAUGGCUGUUCGCCAUUUAAAGUGGUACGCGAGCUGGGUUUAGAACGUCGUGAGACAGUUCGGUCCCUAUCUGCCGUGGGCGCUGGAGAACUGAGGGGGGCUGCUCCUAGUACGAGAGGACCGGAGUGGACGCAUCACUGGUGUUCGGGUUGUCAUGCCAAUGGCACUGCCCGGUAGCUAAAUGCGGAAGAGAUAAGUGCUGAAAGCA